ACGUAGGGAGCGAACGUUGUCCGGAUUUAUUGGGCGUAAAGGGCUCGUAGGCGGUUCAACAAGUCGGUCGUGAAAGCCCGGGGCUCAACCCCGGGAUGCCGGUCGAAACUGUUGUGACUUGAGUUCGGUAGAGGUGAGUGGAAUUCUCGGUGUAGCGGUGGAAUGCGCAGAUAUCGAGAGGAACACCCGUAGCGAAGGCGGCUCACUGGGCCGAUACUGACGCUGAGGAGCGAAAGCAUGGGGAGCAAACAGG
rnacentral:rRNA from 1 species